AAGCCGGAGGAAGGCGGGGAUGACGUCAAGUCCUCAUGGCCCUUAUGCCCGGGGCUGCACACGUGCUACAAUGGGGCGGACAGAGCGACGCUAAACCGCAAGGUCACGCCAAUCGCAAAAACCGUUCCUAAGUUCGGAUUGCGGGCUGCAACCCGCCCGCAUGAAGCUGGAAUCGCUAGUAAUCGCGGAUCAGCACUGCCGCGGUGAAUGUGUUCCUG
rnacentral:rRNA from 2 species